rnacentral:rRNA from 1 species
CACGCUGUAAACGAUGAAUACUAGGUGUGCGGGGACUGACCCCCUGCGUGCCGCAGUUAACACAAUAAGUAUUCCACCUGGGGAGUACGAUCGCAAGGUUGAAACUCAAAGGAAUUGACG